GACGAACGCUGGCGGCGUGCCUAAUACAUGCAAGUAGAACGCUGAAGCUUGGUGCUUGCACCGAGCGGAUGAGUUGCGAACGGGUGAGUAACGCGUAGGUAACCUGCCUGGUAGCGGGGGAUAACUAUUGGAAACGAUAGCUAAUACCGCAUAAGAGUAGAUGUUGCAUGACAUUUGCUUAAAAGGUGCAAUUGCAUCACUACCAGAUGGACCUGCGUUGUAUUAGCUAGUUGGUGAGGUAACGGCUCACCAAGGCAACGAUACAUAGCCGACCUGAGAGGGUGAUCGGCCACACUGGGACUGAGACACGGCCCAGACUCCUACGGGAGGCAGCAGUAGGGAAUCUUCGGCAAUGGACGGAAGUCUGACCGAGCAACGCCGCGUGAGUGAAGAAGGUUUUCGGAUCGUAAAGCUCUGUUGUAAGAGAAGAACGAGUGUGAGAGUGGAAAGUUCACACUGUGA
rnacentral:rRNA from 1 species